UAGGGAAUAUUGGUAAUGGGCGCAAGCCCGAACCGGCAACGCCGCGUGCGCGAUGAAGGCCUUCGGGUUGUAAAGCGCUUUUUAAGGGGAUGAGGAAGGACAGUACUCUUAGAAUAAGCCUCGGCUAACUACGUGCCAGCAGCCGCGGUAAAACGUAGGAGGCGAGGGUUAUCCGGAUUUACUGGGCGUAAAGCGUGUGUAGGCGGUUUGAUAAGUUGGAUGUGAAAGCUCCCGGCUCAACUGGGAGAGGUCGUUCAAAACUAUCAGACUUGAGAGUGGUAGAGGGAGGUGGAAUUCCGCGUGUAGUGGUGAAAUGCGUAGAUAUGCGGAGGAACACCAGUGGCGAAAGCGGCCUCCUGGCCCAUUUCUGACGCUCAGACACGAAAGCUAAGGUAGCAAACGG
rnacentral:rRNA from 1 species